rnacentral:rRNA from 1 species
GAUGAACGCUGGCGGCGUGCCUAAUACAUGCCAGUCGAGCGAACGGACGAGAAGCUUGCUUCUCUGAUGUUAGCGGCGGACGGGUGAGUAACACGUGGAUAACCUACCUAUAAGACUGGGAUAACUUCGGGAAACCGGAGCUAAUACCGGAUAAUAUUUUGAACCGCAUGGUUCAAAAGUGAAAGACGGUCUUGCUGUCACUUAUAGAUGGAUCCGCGCUGCAUUAGCUAGUUGGUAAGGUAACGGCUUACCAAGGCAACGAUGCAUAGCCGACCUGAGAGGGUGAUCGGCCACACUGGAACUGAGACACGGUCCAGACUCCUACGGGAGGCAGCAGUAGGGAAUCUUCCGCAAUGGGCGAAAGCCUGACGGAGCAACGCCGCGUGAGUGAUGAAGGUCUUCGGAUCGUAAAACUCUGUUAUUAGGGAAGAACAUAUGUGUAAGUAACUGUGCGCAUCUUGACGGUACCUAAUCAGAAAGCCACGGCUAACUACGUG